AAUCAACGCUGGCGGCGUGCCUAACACAUGCAAGUCGAACGAGAAAGUGACUUCGGUCACUGGAUAGUGGCGUCCGGGUGAGUAACACGUGGGUAAUCUACCCUCGGGUGGGAAUAACGGAUCGAAAGAUUCGCUAAUACCGCAUAAUGCAGCGGCACCUAAUGGUGAAUAGUUGUUAAAGCGGGGGAUCGCAAGACCUCGCGCCUGAAGAGGAGCCUGCGGCAGAUUAGCUAGUUGGUGAGGUAAUGGCUCACCAAGGCUUCGAUCUGUAGCUGGUCUGAGAGGACGGCCAGCCACACUGGCACUGACACACGGGCCAGACUCCUACGGGAGCAGCAGUAAGGAAUAUGUCAAUGAGGAACUCUGAACCAGCCAUGCCGCGUGCAGGAUGAAAGCCCUCUGGUUGUAAACUGCUUUUAACA
rnacentral:rRNA from 1 species